GGACUACAAGGGUUUCUAAUCCCGUUCGCUCCCCUGGCUUUCGCCCCUCAGCGUCAGGCGCCUCCCAGGACACUGCCUUCGCCUUUGGUAUUCCUCCGGAUCUCUACGCAUUUCACCACUCCACCCGGAAUUCUAUGUCCCUCUGAGGCCCUCGAGUGCGACCGUCUUCCCGGCACUCCCGCCGUUAAGCAACGGGCUGGCACCGGAAACGCGCCGCACCGCCUGCAGGCCCUUUACGCCCAGUAACUCCGGACAACGCUCGCCCCCUACGUAUUACCGCGGCUGCUGGCAC
rnacentral:rRNA from 1 species